AGGGCUUUAUGAGGUCAUCCCUGGCUCCAGCACCUCACAAUCUUUAUGGUGACUGUUCAGAGGGCAGCUAAGCAGAAAAGAAGUUUUCAACAAGGCUGUUUCUGGCCUGUUUUCCCUCUCAGUACUACAUGGCAAGUCACGUCUCCAAACUGAGGAGUGUGCCUGAAGAGUCAGGUCUGGCAGAGAAAGGAUUUCUUGCCCUAGGUUUAAACAAGCAAUGUCAACAUAACUUCCAAAGGCAUCGGCUGCUUGGAAGAAGUGAAUCCCUUGGGUCAUUCCCUUGAUUAUUGUGAACCCGUGGCUGAGCAGGACAGAAAUGUCACACAGGUGGACUGAGAACAAAAUGAUUUCAGAUAUGGGAGCCCCAAAGUGGCAUCCCAAGGACAAGUGCUCAGAAUUGCAUGACUUGGUUUUCUGUUGAGCUAUUCUGUCUUGGAUAAUUACAGCAUGAGCUCUUGGCCAGUGGUGGGAAUUAAUUGGUUUUAAUUCUCCCGCAAAGAUUCUCUUAAGUAAAAGUAAAACAUUUGCAAACUGGA
rnacentral:lncRNA from 10 species